GCCACCAUAUAGCUCAGUGGUUGAGCACUGGUCUUGUAAACUGUGGGUCGUGAGUUCAAUCCUCACUGGUGGCU